rnacentral:lncRNA from 1 species
GAGACUUGAGGGCGGAGCCGAAAUAGCUCAGUUGGGAGAGCGUUAGACUGAAGAUCUAAAGGUCCCUGGUUCGAUCCCGGGUUUCGGCAAAACCUCUCAGCUUUUCUUUUUUUUUUUUUUUUCCCCUUAUCCUUUGACGAGACUUUAAGGUAUUAAACAUGAAAAUACGCGCAACCGAAAUGAUGGACCGAAAAAAUGGGCAACCUUGUUCUCAGAUUCGUAAAGGAAGACACAAGAGGAUUAUUAAAUAAAACGAUUCUUCCAGUCGGAGAAGCCGAAGUAUGAGUAUCACUUUAAACGAAAGAGAUAGAUCCAAAGGUGAAGAAAAACCACUUUUCCUUCUUCUUUGUAAUAUUUAGAACGUAUCUUCUUUCUUGGUUCUGGCUCAGUUGGAAUCGAUUUUUUGCGCAAAUAAAAUCUUAAAAAGUUUUAUAUGCCUCCGUUUAUCUUUUAACAAUAGUGCGUAUACCCGUCCCCCCCCUCCUCCCCCCCUUCCCAUGAAGUCAGGUGGUCUGCUGGGGGCAAAAAAAUGCUAGAGAAAAACAAUUUUUUAGAGACUCCUUAGGGAAAUUAAUAUUAACAAAAAAGAGACCGGGUCUCGUCGGAUGUCCGGGCGGAACUACAGACACUGCUCGCAGGCGCGGUCCCACCGCCGCCCAGCACGGGGAGUUUGACCUGCUCCGUGUCCGGCCUGGGCCGGGUCCCCCCCUCCUUAGACAACCUGGCCCAGUGCGGACGCCCGCUCUACGCAGAGCUGCAGUCCCGAACCCCCGGGAAUCCACGAUCCACCGGCCUCAGCCUCCCGAGAAACUGGGAUUACAGGCGCGCGCCACCGUGCCCGGCGCGAGGAGCUGCGGCGCCGCGGGCCAGGAGGCUGCUGCCGCCGGCUCUACGGUGCUACGCGGCACCACCCCAGCGGAGACUUCUUCGCUCUGCCCCUCCCGCCACCAGCUACAUUGCUAGAAGAGGCUGAUGGAACAGAGACGAUGAGGCGCAGAAAGCUCUGGCAGAGUUAUGAAUAAGAUUCCCUUAUCAUGUUGUCCUCAGAAUCUUUGCCAGAGUGUCGUAAACUUAUCAAAGGUCAAGGACUGCGUUGAGCGUUGAGUUCUUCGCAAACUUCAAUGAACAUACAAAACCCAGCCGGGGAUCUCGCUAAAAUGCAGCUUCUGACUUGAUUUCUUGAAAUUCUCAAUCUGAAUCUGAACCUCUCAGAACCCAGCCAGUACACUCGGAGAAGUCCAAAUCACAUGGAAAGAUCACACCCAGGCCCUCUGGGCAACAGCCUCAGUGGAGCUCCUAGCAGAUCACCGACACCAACUGCCAACACCAGCCACGUGAG